UUUUGAAUUAUCGCAAUUUAAAAUUUGACCUGCCCACUGAAUUUAUUUUAAAGGGCCGCGGUAUUUUGACCGUGCAAAGGUAGCAUAAUAAUCAUUAGUCCUUUAAUUGUGGACUGGAAUGAAUGGUUUGACGAGGUAUUAACUGUCUCAUUAAAUAAUUACAAUUAAAAUUUAACUUUUGAGUCAAAAGGCUUAAAUUUAUAUAUAGGACGAGAAGACCCUAUAGAGCUUGACUUUAAUUGAUUUUAUAUUAAAUAUUUUGUAUAUCUUUUUUAUUAUAAAAUUAAUUAUUUUAUUGGGGUGAUAUCAGAAAGAAUUAAUUAACUCUUUAUUUAUUAAAACAUUAAUUUAUGAUUAUUUGAUCCAUUAAUAGUGAUUAUAAUUAGAUUAAGUUACCUUAGGGAUAACAGCGUAAUGUUUUUUGAGAGUUCUUAUCAACAAAAAAGAUUGCGACC
rnacentral:rRNA from 1 species